CUAUUAUCCAGCAGAUUUGUUUUGCCAUCCUGGUUGAACUUUCUAGUGAGAGAGUAAAAAACUCCACUAGGAUCAUACAUGUGCUUUAGCAGGAACGCAGGGGGCAUAACCUAACAAAUGUGUGGAGUCAAUUGGUUUCCCAAGGGGGCGCUACUGAGGAGCUGGCUGACCAAGUCUCGACCAAGACUGCUGCUGCUCAUUGCCGGCUUGAAGAGGCCUCAAGUCACCCUCAUGAGAAGGAAAAGGAUGAAGCGCACAAAAGUAGCAAAGGCCACGUAAGCGAACCAGCAAUCGCUUGCCACAUUUCAACUGAAUCCUUAAGAUCAGGCCUGCCUACUGUAGAAAUGGAAGAAGCUCAAGACACAGAGGAACUCAUUUACCAAUCUGUGUCAUCUCGACGAACUAAAAUCCACAGCAAACCAAAGCGAGGAUGGAAAGCAAGGGUUUCACAAAGGUCCAGAGCUCCUGGCUAAAACUUGGACCCAUUUUUACCCUAUAUCCGGCCAUCUGUAGAUCCCUCCUCUUUAAAAAUACACGUUAUGGUUAAUUAUGCUAUGCUGGGUGUGACUGUAUAUUCUUUUACAUUGUAGUGACAAAUACUUGGUUAAACAGAAAUGCUUUCUAUUCCUUCA